GUUUCAGUCACUGCUCUGAGUCCAGGGAAAUGAUAAUUUGCAAUCUUGAAGAGAUUGUCACAUAAAGGAGACUGCAUGUACUGAGCUGCAUAUGCUGCACAGAUGAGUCCUUGCAUUAACAGACCAGCUGGAUCUCCUGCAUGGGAUAUCAUCACUGCCUUCAUGAAGGAUAACUUCUUCCACAUUGCCAUAUACACACAUCUGCUAAAGACAGGGUCCUGCAGCUGCUUGCUGCCCGCUGUGGCUCAUGGGCUGUGUAACUUGAGCAGCAUUCCUCGAGCACCAUGCCCACCCUAAACUCCCAGCAGCUGGAACAGCUGUGUGAAGUGCAGCCUUAGAUUACUACAGACAUCUUUAAGAAAUUAAAAAGCUGAAUCUCCAGUCUCUAUCAUUUCACCUACUUUUAAUAGAAUUGCUCCUCAGCCACCUUGUCUUUGGGGUAUAUCUACUUUAUCAUUAACUCAGUCACGUUACAGGUUUUACAGGUAAUACUGCUGGAAAUAUUGUUUUGCCACACCUGUGCAAUAAACUGAAAAAAAACAAAGUGACAAAUGUAUUAAAAGAAUUAAAAGUUAAGUCAGAAUAAAGUCAAAAAGACACUUUUCUACCAUUUGCCCACAAUGUGCAGCACAGGCUGCAUCACACACUGAAAGUCCCGACAAUCAAAGUCUUGAAAACCCUCUCUCCCUCCCUUCCCAUGAAAGUUUGGACUUAUUCCCAAAUACUUUAAAAAGAAUUGGUCUAGCAUAAGAUCACAACUAGCAAAGUUCUGCCAAUCCUUCUAUCAAUUAACUAUUGUGGAUGAUCUUCCCAUUUUCUUAUUAAUACUAGGAUUUAGUCCACAGAUUUGCCAAUUACAAACCUCAGCAUUUGCUCUCAGAACCAGUCUUAGCCCAAAACCCCAGAGACUAAAUAUUCCAGGCUCCUUAAAGUAAGCAUGGAAGAAGCAAGUUAGAAUCUAGUGAAAAACUUAAAGUUUAAAUUUUGUCUUAUUUUUUUUUCCUUUGUGAUACAGGCAUUUAACAUCCAAAACUCAUCUGUAAGCAAUCAAAACCACAGGUAAAACACAAGAACAAAGGAUUUACCUAGUGAGUCAUCAAAGUGCUUUAUUUUAUAAAGCCUUGCUCAUGUUUGGAGUGUAAUCUAAGCACUAACAUACACAAUAAUGAGUCUUCCUUGCCCUGUCCAAAUAAACGGUUUAUCAACAAGAGUGAGUGACAAAAAUGCUACACAGACAAAAAGAAUGCUUUGCUGUAAAUGUCGAAAAUGGUCUAAAAAUGUACACUUGUUGGCCGCAAUUAAAUAUGUACUCCAAGUACCUUAUUUUUACUCCAGAGUCUCCCUGUGGCCUCAUACCUUCAGAAGCUUCAGAAAACGAAACUUGGGUGAGAACGUAGACAACCAGGGUGUUUAGGGAGAGGA